rnacentral:rRNA from 1 species
GACGAACGCUGGCGGCGUGCUUAACACAUGCAAGUCGAACGGAAAGGCCCUGCUUUUGUGGGGUGCUCGAGUGGCGAACGGGUGAGUAACACGUGAGUAACCUGCCCUUGACUUUGGGAUAACUUCAGGAAACUGGGGCUAAUACCGGAUAGGAGCUCCUGCUGCAUGGUGGGGGUUGGAAAGUUUCGGCGGUUGGGGAUGGACUCGCGGCUUAUCAGCUUGUUGGUGGGGUAGUGGCUUACCAAGGCUUUGACGGGUAGCCGGCCUGAGAGGGUGACCGGCCACAUUGGGACUGAGAUACGGCCCAGACUCCUACCGGAGGCAGCAGUGGGGAAUAUUGCACAAUGGGCGGAAGCCUGAUGCAGCAACGCCGCGUGCGGGAUGACGGCCUUCGGGUUGUAAACCGCUUUCGCCUGUGCCGAAGCGUGAGUGACGGUAAUGGGUAAAGAAGCACCGGCUAACUACGUG